rnacentral:rRNA from 1 species
AUUCCAGCUCCAAUAGCGUAUAUUAAAGUUGUUGCAGUUAAAAAGCUCGUAGUCGGAUUUUGGCAUCACGCCGAACUGUCUGCCGAUUGGUAAGUACGGUUUGGCGGGUGCUUCCUUCCGGAGGCUCGUUCCCUUCUUCAUUGAAGGGUUCGUUGGUUCCGGGUCUUUUACUUUGAGAAAAUUAGAGUGUUCAAAGCAGGCCUAUGCUCUGAAUAGGUUAGCAUGGAAUAAUAGAAUAGGACUUUGGUUCUAUUUUGUUGGUUUUCGGAAAUCGAGUUAAUGAUUAACAGGGACAAUUGGGGGCACUAGUAUUCAGACGACAGAGGUGAAAUUCUUGGACCGUCUGAAGACUGACUACUGCGAAAGCAUUUGCCAAGAGUGUUUUCAUCG